UGACGCAGCAAUGCCGCGUGUGUGAAGAAGGCUUUAGGGUUGUAAAGCACUUUCAAUUGGCAAGAAAGGUUGCGUGUUAAUAGCACGUAGCUAUGACGUUACCUUUAGAAGAAGCACCGGCUAACUCCGUGCCAGCAGCCGCGGUAAUACGGAGGGUGCGAGCGUUAAUCGGAAUUACUGGGCGUAAAGCGCGCGUAGGCGGUUUGUUAAGUCGGAUGUGAAAGCCCCGGGCUCAACCUGGGAAUUGCAUUCGAUACUGGCCGACUAGAGUACGAGAGAGGGAGGUAGAAUUCCACGUGUAGCGGUGAAAUGCGUAGAUAUGUGGAGGAAUACCGGUGGCGAAGGCGGCCUCCUGGCUCGAUACUGACGCUGAGGUGCGAAAGCGUGGGUAGCAAACAGGAUUAGAUACCCUGGUAGUCCACGCCGUAAACGAUGUCUACUAGCCGUUGGGAGACUUGAUUUCUUAGUGGCGCAGCUAACGCACUAAGUAGACCGCCUGGGGAGUACGGCCGCAAGGUUAAAACUCAAAUGAAUUGACGGGGGCCCGCACAAGCGGUGGAGCAUGUGGUUUAAUUCGAUGCAACGCGAAGAACCUUACCAGGUCUUGACAUCCUGAGAACUUUCUAGAGAUAGAUUGGUGCCUUCGGGAACUCAGAGACAGGUGCUGCAUGGCUGUCGUCAGCUCGUGUUGUAAAGU
rnacentral:rRNA from 1 species